ACUCAAAUGAAUUGACGGGGGCCCGCACAAGCGGUGGAGCAUGUGGUUUAAUUCGAUGCAACGCGAAGAACCUUACCUACCCUUGACAUCCUGCGAAGCCGGGAGAGAUUCUGGUGUGCCGAAAGGAGCGCAGAGACAGGUGCUGCAUGGCUGUCGUCAGCUCGUGUUGUGAGAUGUUGGGUUAAGUCCCGUAACGAGCGCAACCCUUGCCCCUAGUUGCCAGCAUUCAGUUGGGGACUCUAGGGGGACUGCCGGUGAGGAACCGGAGGAAGGCGGGGACGACGUCAAGUCAUCAUGGCCUUUAUGGGUAGGGCUACACACGUGCUACAAUGGGGCGUACAGAGGGUCGCGAACCCGCGAGGGGGAGCCAAUCCCGCAAAGCGCCUCGUAGUCCGGAUUGGAGUCUGCAACCCGACUCCAUGAAGUUGGAAUCGCUAGUAAUCGCGAAUCAGCAUUGUCGCGGUGAAUACGUUCCCGGGCCUUGUACACACCGCCCGU
rnacentral:rRNA from 1 species